rnacentral:rRNA from 1 species
UGCAGUCGAACGGCAGCACGAGAGAAGCUUGCUCUCUUGGUGGCGAAGUGGCGGACGGGUGAGGAAUACAUCGGAAUCUACCUUUUGGUGGGGGAUAACGUAGGGAAACUUACGCUAAUACCGCAUACGCCCUUCGGGGGAAAGCCGGGGACCUUCGGGCCUGGCGCUGAUAGAUGAGCCGAUGUCGGAUUAGCUAGUUGGUGAGGUAAUGGCUCACCAAGGCGACGAUCCGUAGCUGGUCUGAGAGGAUGAUCAGCCACACUGGAACUGAGACACGGUCCAGACUCCUACGGGAGGCAGCAGUGGGGAAUAUUGGACAAUGGGCGCAAGCCUGAUCCAGCCAUACCGCGUGGGUGAAGAAGGCCUUCGGGUUGUAAAGCCCUUUUGUUGGGAAAGAAAAGCAAUCGGUUAAUACCCGGUUGUUCUGACGGUACCCAAAGAAUAAGCACCGGCUAACUUCGUGCCAGCAGCCGCGGUAAUACGAAGGGUGCAAGCGUUACUCGGAAUUACUGGGCGUAAAGCGUGCGUAGGUGGUGGUUUAAGUCCGUUGUGAAAGCCCUGGGCUCAACCUGGGAAUUGCAGUGGAUACUGGGUCACUAGAGUGUGGUAGAGGAUAGUGGAAUUUCCGGUGUAGCAGUGAAAUGCGUAGAGAUCG